GACGAACGCUGGCGGCGUGCUUAACACAUGCAAGUCGAACGGAAAGGCCCUGCUUUUGUGGGGUGCUCGAGUGGCGAACGGGUGAGUAACACGUGAGUAACCUGCCCUUGACUUUGGGAUAACUUCAGGAAACUGGGGCUAAUACCGGAUAGGAGCUCCUGCUGCAUGGUGGGGGUUGGAAAGUUUCGGCGGUUGGGGAUGGACUCGCGGCUUAUCAGCUUGUUGGUGGGGUAGUGGCUUACCAAGGCUUUGACGGGUAGCCGGCCUGAGAGGGUGACCGGCCACAGUGGGACUGAGAUACGGCCCAGACUCCUACGGGAGGCAGAAGUGGGGAAUAUUGCACAAUGGGCGGAAGCCUGAUGGAGCAACGCCGCGUGCGGGAUGACGGCCUUCGGGUUGUAAACCGCUUUCGCCUGUGACGAAGCGUGAGUGACGGUAACGGGUAAAGAAGCACCGGCUAACUACGUG
rnacentral:rRNA from 1 species